AAGACUGUACUUUCUGGGAUCAUUUUUCUAGUUCAUUACUAGAGAAGUUUCUCUGAAUGUACAGCAUCCAAAACCAUGGGAAAGGAGGCUCUGUUCUCUCCUGAGCACGAAGCUGGCUCUUGGUGUUGCUUCUCCAACUGUGACCUGCCAUUUAUGAGCCUUCUCUCCCUUGGAGGGGGAGGGGGAGAGAACACAGUCCAAGUGGU